AGGAGGUGGAAGCAUUUGUGA
rnacentral:miRNA from 1 species